AAUAUGCAGAGAAUAUAAACCCUGAGUAAAAACGCACACGCUUGGAUCACGUGCACACAGUUAAAGAUGAUGUGUAGUCAUACAUGUCCACGUAGCUUUAUUUCUGUGGCGACGCAACCACAAACAGACACAGUUAAAGGUGAUUUACAUGAAGUCAGUCUGUUAUUCAAAGUUUGAGUGAAUUGUACAGCGUGUAACUUGUCAUUGGCCAGAAUAACAGGGUGUAAAAUCAACCUCUGAAGGAAGAUAAGACACACCUCUGCCAUGCCACCAGGUUUUUGCAGCCCUAGAGAUCGGCACCACUGAACAAUUUCUAUUUGUGAGCUGUGCUGAAAUAUCAGGGGGCUGAGGCUGAAUCAUCACUCCACCAAUCAAAUCAUUUGAGUUCCCCUUGACACUGGACACAUGGAACAUUUCUAUUCCUCUCCUGCUCAGCUCACAUCCACCUGAGGACACAUUCACCUGACUUUCUGAAUCAGACAUCUUGUUUUUUCAUCACUUGCCUUCAUACUGAGUUACGAACAUAUUGAGAAAAUGGAAGACCACAGGCUCAGUUCAAGUUAAGGCUCGAAGUGGCAGACCAAGAAAAAUCUCAGAUAGACGGAAGCGACGAAUGGUGAGAACAGUCAGAGUCAACCCACAGACCAGCACCAAAGACCUACAACAUCAUCUUGCAGCAGAUGGAGUCACUGUGCAUCGUUCAACCAUUCGGCGCACUUUACACAAGGAGAUGCUGUUUGCGAGAGUGAUGCAG